UACGGACAUAUCACGUUGAAACACCAUUUCCCGUACGAUCAUCGAAGUUAAGCAGGGUUGAGCUUGAUCAGUAUCUAGAUGGGUGGCCGCUUAGGAAUACCAGGUGCUGUAA